rnacentral:rRNA from 1 species
GACGAACGCUGGCGGCGUGCUUAACACAUGCAAGUCGAACGGACAUGCCCUGCUUUUGUGGGGUGCUCGAGUGGCUAACGGGUGAGUAACACGUGAGUAACCUGCCCUUGACUUUGUUAUAACUUCAGGAAACUGGGGCUAAUACCGGCUAGGAGCUCCUUCUUCUUGGUGGGGGUUGGAAAGUUUCGGCGGUUGGGGAUGGACUCGCGGCUUAUCAGCUUGUUGGUGGGGUAGUGGCUUACCAAGGCUUUGACGGGUAGCCGGCCUGAGAGGGUGACCGGCGACAUUGGGACUGAGAUACGGCCCAGACUCCUACGGGAGGAAGCAGUGGGGAAGAUUGAAGAAUGGGCGGAAGCCUGAUGCAGCAACGCCGCGUGCGGGAUGACAGCCUUCGGGUUGUAAACCGCUUUCGCCUGUGACGAAGCGUGAGUGACGGUAAUGGGUAAAGAAGCACCGGCUAACUACGUG